AAAUUGAAGAGUUUGAUCAUGGCUCAGAUUGAACGCUGGCGGCAGGCCUAACACAUGCAAGUCGAGCGGAAACGAGUUAUCUGAACCUUCGGGGGACGAUAACGGCGUCGAGCGGCGGACGGGUGAGUAAUGCCUAGGAAAUUGCCCUGAUGUGGGGGAUAACCAUUGGAAACGAUGGCUAAUACCGCAUGAUGCCUACGGGCCAAAGAGGGGGACCUUCGGGCCUCUCGCGUCAGGAUAUGCCUAGGUGGGAUUAGCUAGUUGGUGAGGUAAGGGCUCACCAAGGCGACGAUCCCUAGCUGGUCUGAGAGGAUGAUCAGCCACACUGGAACUGAGACACGGUCCAGACUCCUACGGGAGGCAGCAGUGGGGAAUAUUGCACAAUGGGCGCAAGCCUGAUGCAGCCAUGCCGCGUGUAUGAAGAAGGCCUUCGGGUUGUAAAGUACUUUCAGUCGUGAGGAAGGUAGUGUAGUUAAUAGCUGCAUUAUUUGACGUUAGCGACAGAAGAAGCACCGGCUAACUCCGUGCCAGCAGCCGCGGUAAUACGGAGGGUGCGAGCGUUAAUCGGAAUUACUGGGCGUAAAGCGCAUGCAGGUGGUUUGUUAAGUCAGAUGUGAAAGCCCGGGGCUCAACCUCGGAAUAGCAUUUGAAACUGGCAGACUAGAGUACUGUAGAGGGGGGUAGAAUUUCAGGUGUAGCGGUGAAAUGCGUAGAGAUCUGAAGGAAUACCGGUGGCGAAGGCGACCCCCUGGACAGAUACUGACACUCAGAUGCGAAAGCGUGGGGAGCAAACAGGAUUAGAUACCCUGGUAGUCCACGCCGUAAACGAUGUCUACUUGGAGGUUGUGGCCUUGAGCCGUGGCUUUCGGAGCUAACGCGUUAAGUAGACCGCCUGGGGAGUACGGUCGCAAGAUUAAAACUCAAAUGAAUUGACGGGGGCCCGCACAAGCGGUGGAGCAUGUGGUUUAAUUCGAUGCAACGCGAAGAACCUUACCUACUCUUGACAUCCAGAGAACUUUCCAGAGAUGGAUUGGUGCCUUCGGGAACUCUGAGACAGGUGCUGCAUGGCUGUCGUCAGCUCGUGUUGUGAAAUGUUGGGUUAAGUCCCGCAACGAGCGCAACCCUUAUCCUUGUUUGCCAGCGAGUAAUGUCGGGAACUCCAGGGAGACUGCCGGUGAUAAACCGGAGGAAGGUGGGGACGACGUCAAGUCAUCAUGGCCCUUACGAGUAGGGCUACACACGUGCUACAAUGGCGCAUACAGAGGGCGGCCAACUUGCGAAAGUGAGCGAAUCCCAAAAAGUGCGUCGUAGUCCGGAUUGGAGUCUGCAACUCGACUCCAUGAAGUCGGAAUCGCUAGUAAUCGUGGAUCAGAAUGCCACGGUGAAUACGUUCCCGGGCCUUGUACACACCGCCCGUCACACCAUGGGAGUGGGCUGCAAAAGAAGUAGGUAGUUUAACCUUCGGGGGGACGCUUACCACUUUGUGGUUCAUGACUGGGGUGAAGUCGUAACAAGGUAGCGCUAGGGGAACCUGGCGCUGGAUCACCUCCUUAAACGAUGAU
rnacentral:rRNA from 1 species